GACGAACGCUGGCAGCGUGCCUAAUACAUGCAAGUCGAACGAGAGCGACCGGUGCUUGCACUGGUCGAUCUAGUGGCGAACGGGUGAGUAACACGUGGGUAACCUGCCCAUCAGAGGGGGAUAACAUUCGGAAACGGAUGCUAAAACCGCAUAGGUUCUACAGUCGCAUGACUGAAGAAGGAAAAGAGGCUUCGGCUUCUGCUGAUGGAUGGACCCGCGGUGCAUUAGCUAGUUGGUGAGGUAACGGCUCACCAAGGCCGUGAUGCAUAGCCGACCUGAGAGGGUGAUCGGCCACAUUGGGACUGAGACACGGCCCAAACUCCUACGGGAGGCAGCAGUAGGGAAUCUUCCGCAAUGGACGCAAGUCUGACGGAGCAACGCCGCGUGAGUGAAGAAGGAUUUCGGUUCGUAAACCUCUGUUGUUAGAGAAGAACAGCGCAUAGAGUAACUGUUAUGCGU
rnacentral:rRNA from 1 species